rnacentral:piRNA from 1 species
UUUGAUAUGUUAAUAGGCACCCCAGCA